GGGGUUGUGGCUCAGUGGUAGAGCACUUACCUCACACGUGUGAGGCACUGAGUUCAAUCCUA
rnacentral:tRNA from 1 species